UCUCCGUAGGUGAACCUGCGGAGGGAUCAUUCACAUGAUUACUUUCAAAGAACAAACUGUGAACUUUAUAAAUACUAUUCGUGUUGUGUUUGAUCUUAAUCGAUUUUCAUAACAUUGUCAUUCGUUGAACAUAAGAUAGUUGGCUUGUUUUAAUUAACUUUCUCAGCUUUGAUUUGAUAUUACUAAACAUUUUAUCUAUCAACCAUAAACAUAGAAACAACUCUAUGCCCUGGAUAUCUUGGUUCUCGCAUCGAUGAAGAACCGCAGC
rnacentral:misc_RNA from 1 species